rnacentral:rRNA from 1 species
GUAGGUGAAGUGAUUUACUCAUGGAGCUGAAGUCAGUCGAAGAUACCAGCUGGCUGCAACUGUUUAUUAAAAACACAGCACUGUGCAAACACGAAAGUGGACGUAUACGGUGUGACGCCUGCCCGGUGCCGGAAGGUUAAUUGAUGGGGUCAGCGCAAGCGAAGCUCCUGAUCGAAGCCCCGGUAAACGGCGGCCGUAACUAUAACGGUCCUAAGGUAGCGAAAUUCCUUGUCGGGUAAGUUCCGACCUGCACGAAUGGCGUAAUGAUGGCCAGGCUGUCUCCACCCGAGACUCAGUGAAAUUGAACUCGCUGUGAAGAUGCAGUGUACCCGCGGCAAGACGGAAAGACCCCGUGAACCUUUACUAUAGCUUGACACUGAACAUUGAGCCUUGAUGUGUAGGAUAGGUGGGAGGCUUUGAAGUGUGGACGCCAGUCUGCAUGGAGCCGACCUUGAAAUACCACCCUUUAAUGUUUGAUGUUCUAACGUGGACCCGUAAUCCGGGUUGCGGACAGUGUCUGGUGGGUAGUUUGACUGGGGCGGUCUCCUCCUAAAGAGUAACGGAGGAGCACGAAGGUUGGCUAAUCCUGGUCGGACAUCAGGAGGUUAGUGCAAUGGCAUAAGCCAGCUUGACUGCGAGCGUGACGGCGCGAGCAGGUGCGAAAGCAGGUCAUAGUGAUCCGGUGGUUCUGAAUGGAAGGGCCAUCGCUCAACGGAUAAAAGGUACUCCGGGGAUAACAGGCUGAUACCGCCCAAGAGUUCAUAUCGACGGCGGUGUUUGGCACCUCGAUGUCGGCUCAUCACAUCCUGGGGCUGAAGUAGGUCCCAAGGGUAUGGCUGUUCGCCAUUUAAAGUGGUACGCGAGCUGGGUUUAGAACGUCGUGAGACAGUUCGGUCCCUAUCUGCCGUGGGCGCUGGAGAACUGAGGGGGGCUGCUCCUAGUACGAGAGGACCGGAGUGGACGCAUCACUGGUGUUCGGGUUGUCAUGCCAAUGGCACUGCCCGGUAGCUAAAUGCGGAAGAGAUAAGUGCUGAAAGCAUCUAAGCACGAAACUUGCCCCGAGAUGAGUUCUCCCUGAGACUUAAAGUCUCCUGAAGGAACGUUGAAGACGACGACGUUGAUAGGCCGGGUGUGUAAGCGCAGCGAUGCGUUGAGCUAACCGGUACUAAUGAACCGUGAGGCUUAACCUUACAACGCCGAAG